rnacentral:lncRNA from 10 species
GACGACAAAUGCCAAUUUGGGUUCUGCAGAUGUAGUGAGAAGGUGGCCAUUCCCAACCCAAGGAGAGAACCCUCACCAGAUACUGACCCUGCUGGCAUCUUGAUCUUGGACUUCAAGGCUCCAGAACUGUGGAGUUUCUCCCUUGUUACCUGGACUAGAGUGCAAUGGCACAAUUUCGGCUCACUGCAAUCUCCGCCUCCUGGGUCCAAGCGAUUCUCCUGCCUCAGCCUCCUGAGUAGCUGGGAUUACAGGCACCCACCACCACUCCAGGCUAAUUUUUUUGUAUUUUUAGUAGAGAUGGGGUUUCACUCUGUUGGCCAGGCUGGUCUUGAACUCCUGACCUCAAGUGAUCUGCCCGCCUUGGCUGCCCAAAAUGCUGUGAUUACAGGUGUGAGCCACCAUGCCAGGCCUUUAUAGAUGUUAAGACAGAAUAAAUGCCUUUAAUUUAUAUGAUUAAUAUGUAUGAUUUAAUCCAUGAUAAAUCAAAGCAACCGUUCCAUUUUAAAAGAUCAAGUUAGGUUAAGUGCAGAAGAAUUUGACUGAGAAGCUAUGGGAGCUUAAAGAUUCAUGGCCCUUCUUUCCAUGGCUCAUUCCAAAGUCCUGGGAAGCACCCUAGCAAGAUGUUCACACAACCAUCUAAUUUUGUAAAAUUUGCAAACUUUGAGCUGCAAUUGGUUAAGAUUGCUGCUUCGCUCAGACUUUCCCUCCUCAUGCUUACCCUGGUGUCUGGCAUUUGGGGGAUGGAGUUGGCAGUCACUUCUGUGUGUAAUGAGGCAUUUCUUCGAAAGAAUCACUUCUAGAAAACUUCUGCUGUUCACCUGGCAUUGUGACACAUAGGGGCAAGACCAAAAAUCAUGUUGUGAUAUGAGUGUGUCCCAAAGCACCCAGCCCUGAGGUAUGCGCACAGUAGAAAAGAAGAAAUGAUUUAAAAAGAUGAAGCGAGAACUAGUCUGUGGAAAAUUCUUCUAAUCUUCAGAAAUGUGGAAUUAGAAGCAGAGAAUUCCCUUAUCAUUACUUAAGCAAAAUGGCUAUUCUUUCCUCUCAGGAAUAUACUUAAUAAUGCAGAUUGUACAGAGGUAAAUACACUAUAUUUUUUCUGUUGUUGGAUGAGAAUCAUGCAAGAUAAAAUUUAUCUAAUUCCUGUGUUCAUACUUUAUAAACUCUAGGAGUUUUACAAAUAGCGAUCAUGUCUCUUGGCAUACUGCAGAGUACUUCCCAAUAUGUCAGAUCACUUACAGUGUCUGACAUAUUGUGUCCUUAUAAAGUUGAGCAGUUAUUAGCCAGGUGCAGUGGCUUAAGCCUCUCAUUCCAGUUACUCAGGAGGCUGAGGCUGGAGGAUCACUUCAGCCCAGUAGUUGCUAGCCUGGGCAACCUCGAGAGACCCUGUCUCAACAAUAAAAUAAAAAAUAAUAUAAAAUAAAGAUGAGUGGCUCUAGAUGAAACAGCACACAAAACUGCUAACAACGCAGCAAUACACUGAAAAUAAGUGCUCAAGUGACAUAAUUCUUACAAACACCCAUCAACUUAGUCAAUAUAUGUAGUAUUGGAGUAGUUUGAUUAUACAUUUAGGUAGCUCAAUAUAAUAUGGCAAUAAUUUAAAACUGUAUUUGAAUUCCUCUUGUGUUACACUUAAUUUUGUAUGGUUUUCCAGUGUAUGAAGCCAAAAAAUAGGGAAAACGCAUCUAUUAGAGAGGUUUAUUGGGCAAUUAAUAAAAUAUUAUGCUAUUUUUCUG